UGACCUCAAAUCAGGUAGGAUUACCCGCUGAACUUAAGCAUAUCAAUAAGCGGAGGAAAAGAAACCAACUGGGAUUACCUUAGUAACGGCGAGUGAAGCGGUAAAAGCUCAAAUUUGAAAUCUGGUACUUUCAGUGCCCGAGUUGUAAUUUGUAGAAUUUGUCUUUGAUUUGGUCCUUGUCUAUGUUCCUUGG
rnacentral:ncRNA from 1 species